AGAGUUUGAUCCUGGCUCAGGACGAACGCUGGCGGCGUGCCUAAUACAUGCAAGUAGAACGCUGAAGGAGGAGCUUGCUUCUCUGGAUGAGUUGCGAACGGGUGAGUAACGCGUAGGUAACCUGCCUGGUAGCGGGGGAUAACUAUUGGAAACGAUAGCUAAUACCGCAUAAGAGUGGAUGUUGCAUGACAUUUGCUUAAAAGGUGCACUUGCAUCACUACCAGAUGGACCUGCGUUGUAUUAGCUAGUUGGUGGGGUAAGGGCUCACCAAGGCGACGAUACAUAGCCGACCUGAGAGGGUGAUCGGCCACACUGGGACUGAGACACGGCCCAGACUCCUACGGGAGGCAGCAGUAGGGAAUCUUCGGCAAUGGACGGAAGUCUGACCGAGCAACGCCGCGUGAGUGAAGAAGGUUUUCGGAUCGUAAAGCUCUGUUGUAAGAGAAGAACGAGUGUGAGAGUGGAAAGUUCACACUGUGACGGUAUCUUACCAGAAAGGGACGGCUAACUACGUGCCAGCAGCCGCGGUAAUACGUAGGUCCCGAGCGUUGUCCGGAUUUAUUGGGCGUAAAGCGAGCGCAGGCGGUUAGAUAAGUCUGAAGUUAAAGGCUGUGGCUUAACCAUAGUAGGCUUUGGAAACUGUUUAACUUGAGUGCAAGAGGGGAGAGUGGAAUUCCAUGUGUAGCGGUGAAAUGCGUAGAUAUAUGGAGGAACACCGGUGGCGAAAGCGGCUCUCUGGCUUGUAACUGACGCUGAGGCUCGAAAGCGUGGGGAGCAAACAUGAUUAGAUACCCUGGUAGUCCACGCUGUAAACGAUGAGUGCUAGGUGUUAGACCCUUUCCGGGGUUUAGUGCCGUAGCUAACGCAUUAAGCACUCCGCCUGGGGAGUACGACCGCAAGGUUGAAACUCAAAGGAAUUGACGGGGGCCCGCACAAGCGGUGGAGCAUGCGGUUUAAUUCGAAGCAACGCGAAGAACCUUACCAGGUCUUGACAUCCCUCUGACCGCUCUAGAGAUAGAGUUUUCCUUCGGGACAGAGGUGACAGGUGGUGCAUGGUUGUCGUCAGCUCGUGUCGUGAGAUGUUGGGUUAAGUCCCGCAACGAGCGCAACCCCUAUUGUUAGUUGCCAUCAUCUAGUUGGGCACUCUAGCGAGACUGCCGGUAAUAAACCGGAGGAAGGUGGGGAUGACGUCAAAUCAUCAUGCCCCUUAUGACCUGGGCUACACACGUGCUACAAUGGCUGGUACAACGAGUCGCAAGCCGCUGACGGCAAGCUAAUCUCUUAAAGCCAGUCUCAGUUCGGAUUGUAGGCUGCAACUCGCCUACAUGAAGUCGGAAUCGCUAGUAAUCGCGGAUCAGCACGCCGCGGUGAAUACGUUCCCGGGCCUUGUACACACCGCCCGUCACACCACGAGAGUUUGUAACACCCGAAGUCGGUGAGGUAACCGUAAGGAGCCAGCCGCCUAAGGUGGGAUAGAUGAUUGGGGUGAAGUCGUAACAAGGUAGCCGUAUCGGAAGGUGCGGCUGGAUCACCU
rnacentral:rRNA from 1 species